rnacentral:rRNA from 1 species
UACGUAGGUGACAAGCGUUAUCCGGAAUUAUUGGGCGUAAAGCGCACGCAGGCGGCGCUGCAAGUCUGACGUGAAAUCGCUCGGCUUAACCGGGCGCGGUCGUUGGAAACUGCGGUGCUUGAGGCGCGGAGAGGGGUGUGGAAUUCCCGGUGUAGUGGUGGAAUGCGUAGAGAUCGGGAGGAACAUCAGUGGUGAAAACGGCACCCUGGCCGUAGCCUGACGCUCAGGUGCGAAAGCGUGGGGAGCGAACGGG